UAACAAGAAAAUUACCUGGCUCAAAUCCACAGCAUAAUAAUCCAACAUCACAACCAACGCACCAACACAACACAAUUCACCAAAAUCAUCAACAAUGCACCAAUACCACCAAAUAACAAUAUGAAAUCUAUCUCUAAAAAUAAGAGGAGGUCAAAUACUUCACAAAAUUAAAAUAAUAGAAGAAUACUCAAACUCUAAAGAAGUGACUAUGGAGCGACUCUAAGAGUUUCAAGAAAAAGAACAUAACAAUUAAAUAAACUGUUGCCCACGCGAACAAAUGCAGGGCUCGCCAUGAAUAUCCAACUCGAAUACUCUACCUACCAAAAUCCUUACUAACGUCACCUGCGUUCUUUGUAAAAAAAUAGUGAGGAGUGAGACAUUAGCUCAAUGAGUAAUAACACUUAACUACAACCGUUUUAAUAGGAUAAGUCAUAAAACAUCAUGAAAUAAAUGCACUUUAAGAAAUAAAAUAACAAUAAGUAGUAUCAUUUGUUUCAUGUAAGCAAAAUGAUCCAAUAGUUAAGGGAUAAACUCAAUAAGCAUUAUAUCAUAUCAAAUAUUACAUAUUUGGGAGGUUUCCAUGAAUGAAUCACGUAAUCAAUGUGGUAUUCCACUUCAAAAAUAGCCAAUAACAGUGAACCCCUCAUAAAAGAGUCAAAAAUCAUAUCAGUAAGUCCCUACUCGAGGGACAUCAGUAAUAGUAUGCUAGUUCUACCUUCCCACUAGCGAGGGCUGUAACAGUAAUCAGUAACUACAAGGUGCACCAAGUCUAACGAUCCCGCCAUUAGCUAAGGGAUUCAAAUCAAGGUCUACUCUCACUUAUAUUUUCUUUCUAAACAAUAGAUAUUCAUAUGAAAGUAUUUUUCAGAAUAGUCCAUAGCAUUUAAAGUUCAUAUCAAAUCACAUUACUUGUAAACUUGAAUAAAAUACAUGUAAAAAUACUUAUUUCUCAUGUGAGUGAAAAACUUUCAUAACAUCAGUGAUCAUAUCUCAAGUAACGGUAAAUAUGUUUUAUGAACAUCUCAAAUACCCAAUUUCAGUAUCAUAUCGAGAAAAAGACUUGUCCCACAUGCAAUUUCAAAACAUUCAGUAAUUCUUGUUUCAUCAAAAUCAUGUAUAAAAUGGCAAGUUAAGAAACACAAAUCUUGAGAAGGUUACUACUCACAGUACUUCUUGUUAGAAUACCAAACUCAUCACCUCGAGAAAUUAGGAUGAGUUUCUUCGACCAAUCUAUAAUCACAUCAUAUCAACUCCGUAUCAAUUCUCUUAUUUAAGCAAAACUCGUAACUAAUUCAGCACACCCAACGCCCGACUUAGUUUGAGUCUCAAUUAGUCAAAUUAUAUUUAUUCAUGCUAGUAGUAACUCAAUUAGUCCACAAUUUCUCAAUUUCAGCUUAUUCAUCCAAUUCUUUACCCAAAAAUCUAAUUUUCCUGGCCUAACAUAGAGCAAAAUAACUUUACUGUUAAUCAUACUUUUCUAUGGAAUUCAAUUUCUAAUAACCAAUAGAAAUCUCAAGUCUCCAAUAACAAAACAUACAAAUUAGAAGAAAACUCAACAUUUAAAGUUCCGGAAAUACCCGAAAUAGUUGUAGCAGCUUAUGAUUUCUUGAUAUUGUAAAUAUGGUUCCACGAAAGCUCAACUACUGCUCCAUACUAGCAUACCCAUGAAUAAUCAUAGAUUAAAAAUACCAGAACUAUUGGGAGAAGUAAUACUAAGUUCACCAAAGUUUUUCUGUUUCCCCAACUUGGCAGAACUCUUGCAAACGUAUUGUUAUAAAUUUCUUGUUCUCAUUGAGUCUCUUAUCCGGUUUUUUUUCCUCAACACAGAUUUUACCUUGCCCUUGACUAUUGGUCUUUAAAAUCCUUAUUUUAUUAAGUUUAUUCAAAAUGACCCCUUUGUCCUUAUUUAAAUAUGGGGUAGUACAAGAUGCACGCCCCAGG
rnacentral:lncRNA from 1 species